rnacentral:rRNA from 1 species
UACGUAGGGUGCGAGCGUUGUCCGGAAUUACUGGGCGUAAAGCGUGCGUAGGCGGUUCGCUGUGUCCGAUGUGAAAGCCCCGGGCUUAACCUGGGAAUGGCAUUGGAAACUGGCGGGCUUGAGUGUGGCAGAGGGGGGUGGAAUUCCGCGUGUAGCAGUGAAAUGCGUAGAAAUCGAGAGGAACAUCGGUGGCGAAGGCGGCCUUCUGGACGGUGACUGACGCUGAGACGCGAAAGCGUGGGGAGCAAACAGG